GACGAACGCUGGCGGCGUGCUUAACACAUGCCAGUCGAACGGAAAGGCCCUGCUUUUGUGGGGUGCUCGAGUGGCGAACGGGUGAGUAACACGUGAGUAACCUGCCCUUGACUUUGGGAUAACUUCAGGAAACUGGGGCUAAUACCGGAUAGGAGCUCCUGCUGCAUGGUGGGGGUUGGAAAGUUUCGGCGGUUGGGGAUGGACUCGCGGCUUAUCAGCUUGUUGGUGGGGUAGUGGCUUACCAAGGCUUUGACGGGUAGCCGGCCUGAGAGGGUGACCGGCCACAUUGGGACUGAGAUACGGCCCAGACUCCUACGGGAGGCAGCAGUGGGGAAUAUUGCACAAUGGGCGGAAGCCUGAUGCAGCAACGCCGCGUGCGGGAUGUCGGCCUUCGGGUUGUAAACCGCUUUCGCCUGUGACGAAGCGUGAGUGACGGUAAUGGGUAAAGAAGCACCGGCUAACUACGUG
rnacentral:rRNA from 1 species